ensembl:lncRNA
CGAGGAGGCCAUCUUUGGUGUGGCGCGAUGGGAGCUCGGCAGAACUCGGGAGGAGCCAAAGUCUAUCCGCAGAGGAGACCACCCCCUUCCCUUUGACGCUAAUUGGGCCUUCUGGUUGAGCGGUUCACCCCCCCCCCCCCCCCGGGCCAAACACGCUGCGGACUUGACAAGGAUGAACCGGGGAUCCGGGAAGCCGCAGCUUUCUGCGAGUUGAUGAUGCUUCAGCAACAGUCCGAAUAAAUCGUCACUCUAGGCAGUUCAGAGUCUCCGCAGCUCUGCGACUGCUGCAGCUGCUCGCUACUGUUACUGUGGCCGUCUCAUUGGCCAGGGUUUACAGUUCUGUUCAGCACGCACGCUGUUGACUUAAGCUGACUCCAAAGCAAGUAAAACUACAUUUCCUUUCCAUUCGGUGUUGUGGUUUGAGAAGCUCUCUGCGGUCAACCUAUCUUCUCUUAGCUUUGUCUUUUCCCAGCCUCCGCUUGGUGAAUUCUAUCAUCUGUCAAGACUUUAAAGGACAGCUUUUCUGCAAAUAAUGCCACCUUCCGCUAGGUGCUCACUGCAACCAAGCACUUCACCUUCUAGAAGUGCCUAGAAAUUAUUUCUCAUCUAAAGUACCAUAAGUGUCUUAAAGUCUCCUUUUCUAUAGAUAUCCAGUAGGGCCUAGCACAGUAACUAGAAAACUGUAGAUGUUCAAUAAAUGUUCGUUACCUUGACCAUAUCAAUAAAAGCAAACGACAAUAAACUGAUCCUCUCCGCAGGGCAAGCCGUGCCUCAGCAGGAACUACGUGAAUGGACAAAAACCCUGCACACAUGUAAAUGUAUACUCUCCCCCUGAGAAGAGGCAAAGAAUGAGAAUUGUGGAUAUCCCGAGUAUGCAAGCAGUAGCAAGAAAAAGAUUUGAAAAGUAGAACUGUGGCAGGGAGAUGGAUUAGCAGGCAAAGGGACUUGCCACCACCCCUGGCAAUCCGACUUCGAUCCCUGAACCCAGAGUGGUGAACCAAGAGAGCAGAUUCCUAUAAAGAAGCUGGAACUUGGAAAAUUGAGUUGCUGGUUGUUCUGAGCUUAGCUAAGGGCAGAACAUACUGGAACUUCUAAAGCACACUCAUGCCCACUCUGUCCUACCACGAAGCAGCACGAAGCUGAGAGUCUCCUCAAGAAAAACUUGGAGUGCGGAUUUCAGUGCUUUGUCCACACAAAAGACACAAAAAGCAUGACUGGGU